UGACACCCAGCACACACACACAAAGCAUUUGCCUUUCUCCUCACCUGCCUUUCUGUUUCCCUUCUGUCUCCACUUCUCCUACUCUUCUGUCCCUAACAUCUGUUAUUGCCAUUUCAAACUUAGUGGUAUAGAAAAGUAAAUGAUUUGUUAUUAUCUUUCACAGAUCUGGGGCUUGCUGGGCUCAGGAGGACAGCACUCACUCAAGGUUUCUCCUGUAGUGUGAUCAGGUGGUGUUUGGGAUUUGAAUCCUUGAAAGAUCCCCCACUCAUCUGCCCCUGAGCUGGGAAUAAAAAUGGGGCUGAAACAGUAGGGAAUGCUGGGACACUUCUGACUGCAUGCUCUCUCUGGCAUGGUGACUUCAGGGUAGUCAGACUUACAUGACAGCUCAGGGUUUCAGAGGCACAGGUCAAGAGUCCAGCAGAGGAUAUGCCACCUUCUAUGUCUUGGCCUGGGGAGCACAUGGCUAAAUUCUCCAUUAUAUUUUUUAGAAACAAGGUGGUAAGGCCAGCCCAUAUACAAAGGGAAAUGAAUUAGACUCCACCUUAUAUAGGAAGAAUCUGUAGAUUUAUUUUUUAUUUUUGUUUAACUUGUUCAUAUUUUAAUACCCCUCCUACUCCCUUUCCAAUGAUGAAUCCUAAAGUUCUUAGGUGGGGUAGGCACACACCAGAGGGAAGACAAUGUGAAGACACACACCAGGGAAAGAACACCGCAUGGAGACACAGUGGAGUGGUGAGUCUAGGCCAAGGAAUGCCAAGAACAGUUGGCAGGCCAGGGUUGUGGCUCAGUGGUGGAGCACUAGCCUAGCAUGCGUGAGGCACUGAGUUUGAUCCCCGGCACCACAUAAAAAUAAACAAGUAAAAUAGAGGUAUUGUGUCCAUCUACAACUAAAAUAUUUAUUUAAAAAAAAAAAGGAAUUGUUGGCAACCACCAGCACCUGGAAGAGAGACAUAGAAGAUUCUUCCUAUGACCUUCAGAGAGAGCGUGGCCCUGCAGACACCUUGACUUCAGACUCCGAGCCUACCAAACUGUGAGACAGUAAAUUUGAUUGUUUUAAGUCACCUAGGAUUAUGGUUUGAAUCUGUAGUGUCCCUGAAAGGCUCUUGCAAUUAAAGGCUUGGUCCCCAAUGCAGCAAUGUCCUGAGGUAAGUCUUUUGGAAGUGACUGGAUCAUGUGGGCUCUAACCUCAUUAAUGAAUGAAUUAAUCCAUUUGAUGGGUUACUAAUCUGAAUGGAUUAUUGGGAAGUUGGAGGAAGUAGGUCAUGGGGAAGCCCUGAGCGGGAUUAUCUUGUCCCUGGCCCUUCCUCGAUCUCUCUGCUUCCUAGCUGCUGUGAGCUGAACAGCUUUCCUCCACCAUGCCCUUCUACCAGGAUGUGUCUCCCUUGGACUGAAAACUCUGAAACAGUAAAAUGAAUCUUUCCUUCAUUAAAGUUGUUUUAUUCUAGUAUUUGUCACAAGAAUGCAAAGCUAACUAGCAUACCUAGUUCGUGGUAUUUUGUUACAGCAGCCCUUAAAACUAACACAGGUACAUUAGGGAGAGCCACGUUUCAGAAUUGAAAUCGGGAUUAUGUCAGUGAAGGUAUAUUGUGAUCCCUUUUUUCAUCCUCCACCCUCUGCCCGCUCUCAGAUGGAAACUUGUCAGAGUCCUUUGGCCAACCUGACUAGCCUGAGAGAAAAGGUCUAGAGUUGUUGAAAUUGAGAGUCUUCCAAAAAUGACCCAGCGAUGAGGCUCAGCAGAUUCCACCUACACACACAAAAAGCUUCAUUUUAGUUCUCCAUUUUUAAAUCUUAACAGAAGAUUGAGGAUUGCCAGAUAGAUAGCUGAGACAAGCCUCCAUCCUGAAAGACAAAACAAAACAAAACAAACAACGGGGGUGUGGGGGCCAGGAGGAGCCAUAGAGAAAACAGCAGAUGGUGCAAGAGAAAGAAACUUUUUUUUUUCUAAUACUGGGGAUU
rnacentral:lncRNA from 1 species